CCCACCGGACCCCUAAAUACCCAACUAAAAAUCGUAACGUUAGGCUAUUAUAGCCUAUCCAUUUUGACACUGGAUGAGGUUUUUAGAAAACGGAAGGUGGGGUGGCAGGAAUUGAGAGAGAAAUACCAAUAUUCUCAAUGUUGGUUCUCUGUUUUAUUGAUGUCGUUCCUGAAUUGUCGUUGUGCACAUUUGAAGUCCCUGUCUUAUCCUGGACAGUUAAGUGAAGAGUUUAGGUGCUGUAAUAGAGAAAUGUAGCAACCUCCACAAACAGGCUGGUAUAUUGGGGCAGCCUGUUCUGUACUCUGUAUUUCAGACGAAAUCAAGACCAUGUGUAAGGCUCUCUAUGGAUCUACAAAAAGGUAUCCCAAUACCCGGCAAAACAUGGGUGUGUGUAUACACUCUUUCAAAAGUACUCCUCGUUGAGAGACCAGACAUUGAAGGGAUGUAUAAGAAUUCUUCAAAUUUACUCCUCAUAUUAAUUCACACACUAAAACUUUUUACACCACUGUGCCUACCCAGACCAUGAUGCUGGCUUGGAUAUUUUGUUCUUACAUUGUUUAUUCCGUCACAUUUCCAGCAGCUUAACAAGACCAUCAUCACUGUAAAAAAUGACCCACGGGCUUAGUAAAUAUUGCAAAAGAAAAUCAAUGAUUUUUACUUCAAAUAAAAGGUUUCUGGUUUUAUUUCACAUUCUUUUAUAUAGUACUUAAUUCAUGUGUUGAAAAUCCAAGGUAAUAUGCUGCUAAAUUUGAACAAAUAUUUCUAAGUAACAAUCAACAAUUUAAAAAUAUAUUCAAAUUAUCAUUGUUGGACUGACAUGCUAGUGUAACCAGUGUGAAAUGGCCAGCGAGUUAGCGGGGUGCCAGCUAUUUCGAGUUUCAAUCGGUGAUGUCACUCGCUCUGAGACCUUGAAGUACUGUAGUUGUUCCCCUUGCGCUGCAAGGGCUGUGGCUUUUGUUGAGCGAUAGGUAACGAUGCUUCGAGGGUGUCAGUUGUUGACGUGUGCAGAGGGUCCCUGGUUCGAGCCCAGGUAGGGGCAAGGAGAGGGACAGAAGCAAAACUGUUACAUUGAUCCUGUUGACCCGGAUCACUGGUUGCUGCAGAAAAGGAGGACUCAAACAAGGUUCCGAAGGUACAGUCACUGUACCUACACAGGGCACACCCUUUAAUUUGUCCAUUUUCAUCUCACAUGUUUUUAGAUUAAUUUUUCAAACUUAAACAUUUCAAUAGCUCCCUAGUCGUGUGACCUACUGACUUCAAACAAGGUCCAGAAUGUCCAAUCAGUGGGCCUACACAUUGCACAUCCUUAAGUUUGUCCUUUAGUUUGUCCAGUUUACCUUUUUCUUUCAUAUUUAUCUACAAUAAUUGGUAGUUCUAAGUACUUAUUUAUCAUGUUUUUUAUUUUUCCACGUUCUUUAACAGCGGUACACAAUAGGAGAGAGACAGAAUAUCUCCUUUCGUCGUUAAUAUCAACCAAACAGGAAAAGGGCAGAGUGCGAGAGUCAUGCUAUUAAUUGUCCAAAGCAGGGAUGGAGAGUGAGCUAGUAAGGUGGGCUGCAGUGGGUUUGCUGGUCAAUACAUAUACUGAACAUGUAACCAUAGUAAUGGUGGCCAGUAAAUCAAUGAAUAAAAAUGGAAUAUUGACAAAUUAAACAGAAAUUGUAGACCUUUCAUCUUUUCCAACAUGUCAACAGACACAACAUUUCACCGUGUUAACUUUCUCUUUAUCCCUGGUUGAUGUACAUGUCAGAGCCUCUUCAGUGUGGAUGGGGUAUAGCAUACAUUUUCAACAACAAAGAGUGCACUUCCAGUUUGUGUUCUUUACUCUGUUGAACUCUUGUCUUCAUUCCUAGGCACAGCACAUGGAACCCCUGUUAGCAAAACAAAGCAUAACACAUUAUAUAUAAUAUGAAAUAUCAAUGCAGUAUGACGAAUUAGCCAUCCAUUGUGUUAUAUCAUAAAUUGUCUUCCAUGCCGUCACUGUUGUCAAAAGAUUAUAAACAUGUUAAAUAAAGUUACUAACCCAGUCAGUCUUUGGGCCACAUCCAGGUUCUUUAUCAGUGACAAAAAUGAAGCAGUUGUUGGCUUUGUUGACCUCUGAAAUCAUAGGCAUGAACUGAACAUAUGGCUGUCCCACACAACUACAUCAACAUAAAGAAUUUACAUUUACUUUGAAUUAAAUGUCAUUACCAGACACGUUUUGUAUAAAAAAUAUAAAAGUAGCAUAUAGUAUCCAACCCUAUCACAGAGUGAAUAAAUGUAGAGCGUUUAGACUUUAAGAAAAAAUAUUAAGUGACAGUUUCAUCAGUACGUGCUUAAAGAAAGUCCUAUCACAUAGUCUAUGACAAU
ensembl:lncRNA